rnacentral:lncRNA from 1 species
AUGGUCAUCUCAUUGUGUCCUGGAUUUCCUGGAUGUUUUGAUUUAGGAUCUUUUUGCAUUUUGCAUUUUCUUUGAUUGUUGUGCCAAUGUUCUCUAUGGAAUCUUCUGCACCUGAGAUUCUUUCUUCCAUCUCGUGUAUUCUGUUUGUAACGCUUGUAUCUAUGGUUCCAGAUUUCUUUCCUAGGUUUUCCAUCUCUAGCAUUGCCUCACUUUGAGUUUUCUUUAUUGUGUCUACUUCCCUUUUUAGGUCUUGUAUGGUUUUGUUCAUUUCCAUCACCUGUUUGGAUGUGUUUUUCUUUAAGGACUUGUAACUCUUUAGCAGUGUUCUCCUGUAUUUCUUUAAGUGAGUUAUUAAAGUCCUUCUUGAUGUCUUCUACCAUCAUCAUUAGAUAUGCUUUUAAAUCCGGGUCUAGCUUUUUGAGUGUUUGGAAUGCCCAGCACUGGGUGAGUUCCUUUGAAUACAUGAACAGACUCACAAUGGAGAGAUAUCUUGAAAAUGCAAAUGACAGGGCAAAGUCUUCCCUGUUCACAGUUUCUUUAAUCACCAAGAGAGGACUCACAGUGGAAAGGAAACAUAUAGGUAUCAUUGGAAAUUGAAUUUCUUCCCUCCUACUCACCCCACGGUCACAGCUGGAAAUAAGCUGUUGCUUGUUGGUAAACUGCUCACCAGCUCCAGAGUGGGUACUGCUCUCCACUAACAUGUAUGCUGUCAUUUGCUAAAUGAAGCCAACAGUUUUGCCAAGGGCAAGUCAUGUAAAAGCCCAUGCCAACAAAGAUGGUAGUCACUAGGUCAGGAGGCCUAUGUUAGACUUAAAUGAAUUAAAGUGAAGUGAAAUUUGGA